GUGAAUUUAGCGUGUCUUGCCCAUGAGCAGAGCGCGACCUCUCACUCUACACACUGUGCACAUAACAAUCGUGGAUGGAACCGAAGCCGUAAGGCCGACGUGACAUCUUCGUCUCAUUUAUACACGAGUAAACGUAUGUCAUAACAUAAAAAUAUGAA
rnacentral:misc_RNA from 1 species